rnacentral:lncRNA from 1 species
AGCGAAUUUGGUGCGAGAGCUUUUUUUUCCUGUGAGCGUGGCAGUUUUUAGCUGAGCGGUAGGAAAGGCCGGAGCGGAUUUCCAACCGCUCAACUCAACUCACAUGCUCUGAUCCCAUGUGCACAGAGACUGGCGGUACUACAGUUUAAAACUGAUGCCAAGCCCAGAAAGACAAUUCCCACAGACGCUCCCAUAGAGAAGUACAUUUACAACAUUCCUAAAACGAUACUUUGGUUAUCACCUUUGUGCAAAAAAUAUCAAUAUUUUUUUGCAUGAAUUGUCUUUGAGGGUUAUUAUUUUUUAAUCACUCACAGCCGAAGUAAUUAACGUUUUAUAUCCAUGCUGAUACAUGGACGAGAUUGGCUCACAAUGCACACGCAGAAGGAAUGGAACAGUGGAAUCACUCAUGCACUCUCGUCCAGUACCUGCUCUUAGUGAUCUAAUAUCACACAGUCUCAGCCUACCAGUUUAUGAAUCUGGAGACACUGGAGGUGUUUGGGGUGGAGAGGACAGUGGACUCAGUGGAGGACAUCCCAUCCACUUGGCAGUAAGGGCAUGCCGGGCGUGAGCCUACUGUUUCUGUUUCUCGUUCCAAACAGCCUACCAGUUUAUGAAUCUGGAGGUGUUUGGGGUGGAGAGGACAGUGGACUCAGUGGACGACAUCCCAUCCACUUGGCAGUAAGGGCAUGCCGGGCGUGAGCCAACAGCCCAGCUCUGACCAACGGCGAAGUCAGCUCAAAAUUAUUUGAUUGCUUUUGAAUAAAAAUGAAAAAUAGUUUGAAAUAUCGAACAUAUAUUUACAGAAAAUAGAUUUAUGUUUCUGAAUGAUGCACCAUGCUGCUUUGUUGACAACAUGACUGAGCUGCUCAAGAUUACUGUUCCAUUUGAGAAGGGCGCUCCUCCCUCACCGCGUUUUACCUUUCACGUCACUGACCAUAGCUGGGUGCACCGCAGCUCAGGUUAAUAGAACUCCCUCAGUGUUGGCACUGCUACUUCCUACCUGAUGGGUAAGAGGACAUCACACACAGAAUUAGGAGUCUUCCCAUAUUUACAUGUUUGGGUGUAUGUGUGUCAGAGGUGAGGGAUGAUAAGCCAGUGUUUGAGUAGAAGCGUCUAGUGUGUGAGGAAUUGUGGAUGCACUCCAAUUUCCUGAACAGAAAGGUGACAUUAAGUAUUUCUCUACACCCUAACCAUUAACCCCUACUCUCACCCUGGCCCUAGCCCCUUACUUUCAAACCAG